rnacentral:lncRNA from 1 species
GAAAAACAUUAAUUCAAACAUGUCAUUUCCUUUUCACAUCAAAAUAAUGGAAAAAAAAAGCAUUUGAAAAUAUUCUAAAAAGGAAAAAGUUCUAAAUGUUGGAAUGAUGAUUAAAACUGGAUAUCAGUUUUAACAAUGAUGACAUGAAACUUAAGCGUAUAUAUAUUUUUCUGAUUUUAUCAAAAUGGGUAAUUGGAACAAUGAUUAAAUCAGCAAAAAUGGGUAGUGGAUAAUCAUCAUCUCCCGCAGCCCGAGAUUCCAAAACGGCAGACGAAUAACUGUCAACUUACUAACCCCUUUUCGGAAAGUUUAAUCGCCCUCUUCAUCAUCUCCAAUCAUG